UUUUGUAACUGCAGCCUAGGGUUUGAGUUGGUUUUGCUGCUGUUAAAUUUCCUGAACAGACUUUGUGAUAGCUAAUAUUUCAGAUUGGAUGACAAAGAAGUUGGGAUUAUAACAUAUGGUUUUCUAGAUUAAUUUGUUUGGUAGAUUGGGAUAAUAUGGAUCGAAAAUGGAUGUUUGCGAACCGUUUGUCGAAUGAGUACGAGGGUGGUAUUGAUGCUUUUUCAGUCUGAAGGUUCAUCGGUCAACUUCUGGUAUGAGUGUACCCAAAGCAAAGCAAAAUUAUAUUCUGUGGGAUAUCAUUGAGAUAUUAUGUGAUGAAGUUCAUGAAAGGUAUCAUCACUCACCAACAACUUGUGAUCCCAACGAAAUAUUUUGAAGAUUGUCAGUUCGUUUCCUACAAUGAAGAGCAAUUGCGUGAAGUUAAAGAUGAGUGGGCCGCUUAUGUUUUUUACAAUUGUUUUUAGUAUUUAAUCUAUUGGAUAAUUAUCUAUGAGAUGGUGAUAGAUGAAGUUAAGGCCGUGGUUGAGAUACUAUGCACUUUAGAAAUUGCUUCGAAUUUAUGAAGCUUUUGAUAUUAGAUAUAUUGGUUUUUAUAUGCUGAAGUUCAGAAAAUGUUUAUUUUAUG